rnacentral:lncRNA from 1 species
ACUAUCUGAAAAGUGACAUUUUUCGGCAUAUUUGGUAGAUUUUUCAUAUUUGAGCUUGAAUCGGGUCGUUUUUAAUGACUAAAUCAGUUAAAAUCUUUAACAUAAACUAAUUUAUUCGAAUGAAAUAGACACUUAAGUGUUUAAAAAGUGGUCAAAAUCUUUCGUAAGAUGAACCUGAAAUUUGAGGCCAAAAUCGGUCCUUACCGGACCUACUCCUUUAUCACUUGAAAUCUCAUAAAGUUAAAUAAGAAUAGAAUUUAAACAUUUAAAUUGGCAUGUAUUACUCAUGAAAUGCAUACAAGUUGGCAACCAUGCAUGGAAAAUAUUGAGUACAAUUUGAAAACAAGGAGAAGUUUGCAAAUUGUCCUAUAGUUUAGGCUUGAAAAGAACAAGAAAAAAAUAUAAAAUUAUUAAAUAUUAAGUGUAGUCAUGCACUUUUAUCUAUUAUUUUGUAUCAAAACAAAUUAUUUUUAUACGCCCGUCAAAAUUUUGACGGGAUGUAUUAUGGUAUACAAAUGUCCGGUGUCCGUCCGUCUGUCUGUCCGUCCGUCCGUCCGUCCGUCUGUCCGGCGUAAACAUGUCGCACUGUAACUUGAGAACGACUUAUCCAAAUUUCAUGAAACUUAAUAUCGUUGUUUCUUAUGAUGGUCAAAUGAUCUGUAUACUUUUUGGUGAAAAUAAGAUUUAAACUUUUUGAGUUACAGCACUUUAUGACUAAAACAGGGGUGUGUUUUUUUCACAUGUCGCACUGUAUCUCAAAAAGGAUUCUUGAUUAUGACUUAAAACUUAAAACACUUUUUAGUUAUAUUAAUCUCAAUAUCUGUAUACUUUUUGGUGAUGAUUCAAAAUUUCAUUUUUGAGUUAUUGAGUAUUUUGUAAAAAAGGGGGAGGGUUUUUUUACAUGUCGCACCAUAUCUCAAAAACUAUUUAUGAUUAUUGCUUAAAACUUUACACAUGUCUUUGUUAUAUUAAUCUCAAUAUCUGUAUACUUUUUGGUGAUGAUUCAAAAUUUUAUUUUUGAGUUAUUAGUAUUUUUUUAAAAAGGGGGAGGGUUUUUUUCACAUGUUGUGCCAUAUCUCAAAAACGAUUUAUGAUUAUUGCUUAAAACUUUACACACUUCUUUGUUCUAUUAAUCUAAAGAUCUGUAUACUUUUUGGUGAUUAUUCAAAAUUUUAUUUUUGAGUUAUUGAGUAUUUUGUAAAACAGGGGAGGGUUUUUUUACAUGUCGCGCCGUAUCUCAAAAAUAAGUAAUGAUUAUUGCUUAAAACUUUACACACUUCUUUGAUAUAUUAAUCUAAAGAUCUGUAUACUUUUUGCUUUUGAUUCAAAAUUUUAUUUUGGUAAUAUUUAGUUUUUGUAAAAAAAAACAGGGUGGGGGGUUUCACAUGUCCCGCCGUGUCUCUAAAACAAUAUAUGGUUAUUGCUUAAAACUUUCUCAUAAACUAAUUAUGAUUAUUGCAUAAGACUUCCACAUAAGACGUCGGGCGUAUCAUGCGCUCAUGGCGCAGCUGCUUAUUUUCCCAUGUCAAAUCAGGAUUCUUUUUGGAAUUUCAAUUUCUACAUAUGUGAAGUGUAUCAUAGUAAAGUCUCUCAAGUUAACAUGCGAAUGUUAAUUGACGAAAUUGCUUUCAUAACAAGAUAUUAACCUUAUUUGUGUUAUUGUCCUUUAUAAUAAAAAUAGUAAGAUUUUAGAAGACGGAUACAUUUGUUUUUGUACUACAAUGUAGUAUAUUUGUGUCAAAACAAACUUGAAUUUCAAAUACUAGUCUUUAAGUUAAAUUCCCCACAUUCCAGGAUUAAUAUUUAGAAUCAGCUGCAUGCUUUGUGCAUUUUAGUUACUGGUGCUAAUAUCAAAUAUCAUAAGGAAAAAGCUUUGUUUCAUCUUUUUGUUUAAUAUAUUAAAUUUUUGUCUAAUUUUGCAAAACAUUGAAAUUUAUUAUAGUAGGUACACUAUUUUUGAAAAAAACUUUAAUAUUUAAUACUAAUAGAAACAAGGAUGUAAUGUCAUGUUAUUGGAUAUCAUUAAACUAAAUCAAUUAAUACGGGAAUUAAAAUUACUAGGAUAAGAAGAUGAUUUAGGAAGUUCUGCUCAAGUUUGAACUCUAAUU